UACGUAGGGUGCAAGCGUUGUCCGGAAUUAUUGGGCGUAAAGAGCUCGUAGGUGGUUUGUCGCGUUGUCCGUGAAAACUCACAGCUCAACUGUGGGCGUGCGGGCGAUACGGGCAGACUGGAGUACUGCAGGGAGACUGGAAUUCCUGGUGUAGCGGUGGAAUGCGCAGAUAUCAGGAGGAACACCGGUGGCGAAGGCGGGUCUCGUGGGCAGUAACUGACGCUGAGGAGCGAAAGCGUGGGGAGCAAACAGG
rnacentral:rRNA from 1 species